ensembl:lncRNA
GUGAAUUUGACAACCCACAGGCAUGUCCUCUCUUGGGAAGUAUUUCAUCAAGAUGUGAAAAGAGGCUGGCAUCAAAAUGGAAAGCCACAUAUCCUACAAGAGCAGUAGUUCAGUUGCUCAGUUGUGUCCAACUCUGCGACCCCAUGAAUCGCAGCACGCCAGGCCUCCCUGUCCAUCACCAACUCCCAGAGUUUACCCGAACGUAUGUCCGUUGAGUCGGUGACGCCGUCCAGCCAUCUCAUCCUCUGUCGUCCCCUUCUCCUCCUGCCCCCAAUCCCUCCCAGCAUCAAGAGCAGUAGAGUAGAUAGCAAAUUCCCUUUGAUCCAAGAGGCACAAGCUUAAAGCUAAGAUGAAAAGGGAUCUGGAGAAGUGGCACUGUUUAUCACAGUUCUUGCCUCUCAGCUAGAAUGGCCACAUCCAACAUAGAGGACACAAUAAACUCCCCACUGGACUUUACCAUAUGAUGAGAUGGUGGAAUAUAAUGGAUCCUGUCAUAUGCACACUGAGCGGCUUCAGAACAUUGUAAGGGAAACUUGAGCUUCAGUUUAGUCUGGAAGUCAGAAGCUAGCACUGCCUCCCCCAACUGGCUGAGCACGUUUUAUACCUAAUAUGCUUUUGUGCUUCCCAAAACCCUAUGAGUAAAGGAAUUACCCACAUUUUACUCAGACCAGUAAAUUAGAACAGGUAUGUGACUCCCAAACUCAGACUAUUAAUGACAGUGUUAUACUACCUUGAUUUUUUUCAUGUGUAAUACAAGGAUAAUCAACAUUCCUCCACCUACUCCUUAGGCUUGUGUAGAGGACAAAGUACAGAUGUGACAACAUGUUGGGAAAAAUUUUAAAGCCCGAUAUACAUGUGAGUUGGGCUUCCCUAGUAGCUCAGCUGGUAAAGAAUCCGCCUGCAAUGCAGGAGACCCUGGUUUGAUUCCUAGGUGGGGAAGUUCCCCUGAAGACAGGAUAGAUGACUCACUCCAGUAUUCUUGGGCUUCCCUGGUGGCUCAGAGGUUAAAAGAAUCUGCCUGCAAUGUAGGACACCUGGUUUCAUCCCUGGGUUGGGAAGAUACACUGGAGGAGAGCAUAGCAAUCCACUCCAGUAUUCUUGCCUGGAGAAUUCCCAUGGACAGAGGAGCCUGGCAAGCUACAGUCCAUUGGGUUGCAAAGAGACACGACUGAGCGACUGAGCAAAACACAGCACAUACAUAGAGAUCUUUGUGAUCAUUGACCCCCAUUAAUGGGAGGCUUGGCAGCCACUGCUGAGAAAAAAUGUUGCUUCCAUGUCUCUGUAACCUGAAACUGUGAGCGGUACCAGAAAUCAUAUCUUGUUCGUUGAAGAACGCCCCGGAACACCAGUGAUAAGAUACUUGGUAAAUAUUUGUUAAAUAGAUUAUAAGCAGUCCUCAGCAUCUAGAACACGUAUGUUGUAGGCAUUCUAAUAGAUCCUGAUAGACAGUGUGAGUGACUGAUAGCAGGUGGCUGCUGUGGAACCUGGGGAUGAUCCAGAGAAGCUCAGCCUAUACUGAGACCCUGAGUCUACAUUGGAAUUCCGAAGGGAGAGGUCUAGAACAGCGUUCUGGGAGCCAUUACCAUUUACAGGUGUUUACUCAGAGAGAAUCCUGUUUUAGGGGAGCUGCCAGUACACUAAAUACCAGUAUAAUGUAUACACUAGUUCUUUUUCUUUUUUUGACCAUGUCACCCCUCUUGAAAUAUCUUAGUUCCCUGACCCUGGAUUGAACCCAGGCCCCCAGACAGUGAAAGAGCCUAGUCCUAACCACUGGACUGCCAGGGAAUUGCCUGGUAUUCUCCCCCCCACCCCCACAUUAAUUUAUUUAAAUGCAUUUACUGCCUUUGACUAUUUCCUCUCCCUGGAAACUUUGAAAAUUCAGACCUACGUAGGCCAAAGAAAGAAUGAGACAGAUUUUUUUUUUUUUUUU